rnacentral:lncRNA from 1 species
UGUCUGUAGUUGUGUUUGAAGGUCCUUGAACCAGCACAGGAUUGAACGUUACCUUUUUCGUUUUCCUUUUCUUCUCGCUGACUUCCUUAAUGUCUUUAAACAUCUCUUCCUCAUUGAAAAUCACGUUUCUGCUCAAUGUACAUCUUAGCUCUUCUGGUAACCACACUCGAUAACCUUUAGUCCCCUCUGGAUAUCCCAUGAAAACUCCUUUCAUUGCUCUUGGACUGGUUUUGGCCUGAGUCACGUGAACAUAAGCUGUAC